rnacentral:lncRNA from 1 species
ACUUUGAUAUUUGGAAAUUUUAGAAAAUUUUGCAGAUAUGCAAGUGAAGAAUAAAAAAUUUGCAAAUUGAUGGUAUCCCUUAAAUGUAAAUGUUUAAGAUAUUCUAGGUUUUUAUUAACAAGAAAGAAACUGAAGGGGAUGUUCCGCAUAGGAUUACAGUAGGUUGGAUGAAUGGAGUUGCUACAUCAAUUCCAUAUGAUGAAAGAUCCUUGUGAGGUUAAAAGGCAAGGUAUUAGUGAUUAAACCUACUAUGUUUUUAUGGCUCCGAGUCUUAAGUUGUUCGAUGAUAAAAUGCUCAUAAUUCAUAGAAUGUAUGAGCAUAUUAGAAGGUGUUAAACAAAAGUAUGGUAAAAUGAUCUCUUUCAAAAAUCUAAGAAGUGAAAGCAAAGACAAUUGCCUUCAACUUCUGAUUAUAUUGACUUAGUGAAACAUGAUUGUACAUUCACACAAAAUCCUUGGUUUGAGAUAAUCAUAACAAAAUUCUACUUUCAAUAUUAUGUAAUCAAAAUAUUUUAAGUGGCCAACACUGCAAAUAUAGGCACAUAGGUACACAAUGAACUCAACCAAUAAGGUAGAUAAACAUAAUGAAACAUAAUGAGUAAUUAAAAAUCACGAAAUAUUUUUCUCAUUGAAGUUCCCGAUACUGCAUAUAUCAUCAGCACACAAUAAAAAAAUUAAUAAAUCUAUUAGUCUUGCACUCAAUCAGGCUAGAAUCAUCAAGAAUUACAUCUUUGUCUAGCUAUUUAGCAGCAUUCAACACACACAAAAUCACCAUUGCAUCAUAAUCUGAUACCAAAACAUACUCAAUAAAAGAGAUUUUCCAAAUACAAAAAUGCAAUAGCUAAAAUUGCAAACAUACCUGAGUUGAAGAACUCAAACUGAACACUCGGCCAAUCUUCUAUGAGGUCUCGAGGCACCAUGCUAGAUCAUUGAGUUAAACUUUCAAGAUGGUGAAAGCACAGAAAUGGUCAACAAUUUGCUACGUUUAAAGAAAAUAACUAAAAUUAUAUAAAAAUUAGAACCAACUGAUUACAUGGAUAAAUGUCUUUGAUCCAAAAAAUGAUUCAAUUUUUUUCCGGUCACAAUGAAAUCUCAAAGUUGUCAAGUAAAAGAAAGCCAAAUAAAAUCAACACAGGUCCGUCCAACGGCAUAAAAAUAAUUUGAUGUCAAAUUCCAAUUUCCAUUCAUCAUUUGAAAUUAAAAAAAAAAAAAUAUAUAUAUAUAUAU